rnacentral:tRNA from 1 species
GCCUGGGUGGCUCAGUUGAUGGAGCAUCUGACUUCAGCUCAGGUCAUGAUCUCGCAGUCUGUGGGUUCGAACCCCAUGUUGGGCU